AGCAUGACACUGAAGAUGUCAAGAUGGCUGCCACACACACCCGAGGACA
rnacentral:tRNA from 1 species